rnacentral:rRNA from 1 species
AUACGGAGGGUCCAAGCGUUAUCCGGAAUCAUUGGGUUUAAAGGGUCCGCAGGCGGUCAAUUAAGUCAGAGGUGAAAGCCCAUCGCUCAACGAUGGAACUGCCUUUGAUACUGGUUGACUUGAGUUAUACGGAAGUAGAUAGAAUAAGUAGUGUAGCGGUGAAAUGCAUAGAUAUUACUUAGAAUACCGAUUGCGAAGGCAGUCUACUACGUAUAUACUGACGCUGAGGGACGAAAGCGUGGGGAGCGAACAGGAUUAGAAACCCUAGUAGUCCU